rnacentral:lncRNA from 10 species
CCUAUGUGCAUUUAUGUAAAUCUGCAGUUAUUUCAAAAUAAAUAUGUUUUUUAAUAUUAUUAUUAUUUUUUUAAGAAAAGUAAGCAAGUAAAGACAUCAGCAAAAAACUUUUGCCUCCAGAUACAAGUGGGCAUGUAGGGAGAGAAUAGUAAACUGGCUUUUCUUUUCUUUUCUAGGCAACAUUCGAAACCCAGGUGCCACUCCUUCAGGAAGGUACCAUCAAGCUCCAAGGACUCAUCCUCUUUCUCCUUCCCCACUACCUAGUCAUUAGAGCGUCAGCAUCCACUUCCUGAAAGGAAGAUGCCUGUUUUUCACAUAUCCCAGAAAGCCUCAUUUUAGGACAGCAUUUAGCAGAGUGUAUUCAGGAUCCCACUAACCUUUUCGGAAGACAUGACUUCCAGAUGAUAUAAGGCAAGAAUAAGAAAUUUCAGUGACAGGGAACAGAAAUCAUAUUUCUGCAUUCAGGAUCAUGUUUUCUUGGCUCCAUCAGGAACUGUGCAGGACUGUGCACUCUGUUGAUACUCACAUGGUGGAAUUAUAUUGCCCUUGGCCAACCCUAAAGCCAUCAAGAUAGCAGCAACUACUCUAUCAUUACUGUACCACCACCUGUAUGGAUCUCGUUGCCCAUAUGAAACUGAGUAAGGAACAAUGUGCAUCACACUCACAGAGAAAGAUGGACAAGUUUGGAAUAAUUCACUGUCGAAGUCUUCUUGAGCUGAGCAGUCAUGUGAGCUUGGAAGAUGAUCCCUCUCCAGCUGAUCCUUCAGCUCAGGCCAUCAUCUACAUCUGGAUUCCUGACCCGGAGAAACUAUGAGUAAUGUGUGCUGCUUUUGAGCCACUAAGCUACAUGAAUUAAUGAAGGAUCAUUAUUAAGUUUUUAAUGGGUCAAGAGAAAGUUACCACUGAGGUCUUCUCUACCUGGGCAACAAUUGACUCCUAACAACCACUAUAAGCUUGGAAGAUGAUCCCUCCCCAGCUGAUCCUUCAGCUGAACCUUUGAUACUCCUCUGAGUGAAUCGAUGGCUGAGUGUCCUGGGUAGUGAAUAUGGGAUUCCUCAACCCGGAUUCAACAGGGAUUUCCAUCUGAAGAAACAAUUCAGGGCUCCAGAAAGCAGUCUGGGAUUUCUUUAGCACCUGAAAUGUGGACUGUGCAAAUACCAACAGGAUUGUAUUGAGAGGAACACAUUCUCUAGUGAAGGAUGCCUUCCUGCAGGGAAUUUCCACUGAAGUACCUCUGGUUGAAAAGGAGAACAGAGACUUUUUUCACAGCCACAGGACAAAAUUUGUUCAGAAUUAAAUGCUGAAAAAGGAGAACCUGACACCAUUAUUCAUAAUUUCACUGUAUAUGAAGAGCAACCCUAUACUCCAUACAAACAACAUAGACUGUGGAAUUAUGUUGUGAAAUGUAAAGAGAAGAUGAUUCCCAAAUUUAAAGGAAACUGGAGGUGUUCUGGAGAAACAAAUAGAGGCUGGAGUGCCGUGGCACAAUUAUGGUUCACCAGCCUCAACCUCCUGGGAUCAAGCAAUCGUCUCACCUCAGCCUCCUGAGUAGCUGGACUGCAGG